rnacentral:misc_RNA from 1 species
GGAUUUCUGAACAAGAAAAUGAGCAAACGAACGGUCCUAAGACUAAACCUCUGGUAGCCAGAAGAAAGGGCUUGCUGCAAUUCAUUUUCAUCGAUGAAUCCACUUCCAUCCCUAUCCACCAUUUGAAAGCUCCUAAUUACCUCAGGGCUGGUCCCCGGAGGAAAACCAUAAGACCCAUAUGAAGAAACCCCACCAUAAUUAGACCCAUAAGGCUGCGGCCG